GAUGAACGCUAGCGGCAGGCUUAAUACAUGCAAGUCGUGGGGCAGCAGGGGUGUAGCAAUACAUCUGCUGGCGACCGGCAAACGGGUGCGUAACACGUACGCAACCUUCCCGUUACUGUGGCAUAGCCCAGGGAAACUUGGAUUAAUACCACAUAUUAUAUAGAGAGGGCAUCCUUUUUAUAUCAAAGCUUCGGCGGUAACGGAUGGGCGUGCGGUUGAUUAGGUAGUUGGCGGGGUAACGGCCCACCAAGCCUACGAUCAAUAGCUGAUGUGAGAGCAUGAUCAGCCACACGGGCAUUGAGACACGGGCCCGACUCCUACGGGAGGCAGCAGUAAGGAAUAUUGGGCAAUGGACGAAAGUCUGACCCAGCCAUGCCGCGUGAAGGAUUAAGGUCCUCUGGAUUGUAAACUUCUUUUCUCUGGGGCGAAAACCAGCUAUUCUUAGCUAUUUGACAGUACCAGAGGAAUAAGCACCGGCUAACUCCGUGCCAGCAGCCGCAGUAACAC
rnacentral:rRNA from 1 species